GUCUGAUCUGCGUACAUCCACCUGAGUUUUUUCUGUGAAAUCACAUGACCAGAGCAACCAAUCAGACAGCAGCAGCGUCUCACCUGAAUUAACUUAUUAAC